rnacentral:rRNA from 1 species
UACGUAGGGUGCGAGCGUUAAUCGGAAUUACUGGGCGUAAAGCGUGCGCAGGCGGUUUUGUAAGCCAGGUGUGAAAUCCCCGGGCUCAACCUGGGAAUGGCAUUUGGGACUGCAAGGCUGGAGUGCGGCAGAGGAGACUGGAAUUCCUGGUGAGCAGUGAAAUGCGUAGAUAUCAGGAGGAACACCGAUGGCGAAGGCAGGUCUCUGGGCUGACACUGACGCUCAUGCACGAAAGCGUGGGGAGCAAACAGG